rnacentral:rRNA from 1 species
CCUACGGGGUGCUGCAGUGGGGAAUAUUGCACAAUGGGGGAAACCCUGAUGCAGCGACGCCGCGUGAGCGAUGAAGUAUUUCGGUAUGUAAAGCUCUAUCAGCAGGGAGGAAAAUGACAGUACCUGACUAAGAAGCCCCGGCUAACUACGUGCCAGCAGCCGCGGUACUACGUAGGGGGCAAGCGUUAACCGGAUUUACUGGGUGUAAAGGGAGCGUAGACGGCUGUGCAAGCCAGAUGUGAAAGCCCGGGGCUCAACCCCGGGACUGCAUUUGGAACUGUGUGGCUGGAGUGUCGGAGAGGCAGGCGGAAUGCCUAGUGUAGCGGUGAAAUGCGUAGAGAUUAGGAGGAACACCAGUGGCGAAGGCGGCCUGCUGGACGAUGACUGACGUUGAGGCGCGAAAGCGUGGGGAGCAAACAGGAUUAGAUACCCGUGUAGUC